rnacentral:misc_RNA from 1 species
CAGAGAUUUUUCUCAGGUGUACGCUGUAAAAAGCGUACCUUGAGAAUAAACUCCACCCUUUGUUUACAUUACCUUUGUUGCUUUAGCAGGCCCGCCCUUGGGCCGCCGGCUUGUGCUGGUCAGUGCCUGCUAGAGGACCUAAAACUCUUGUUAAUAAUAUUGUCUGAGUACUAUAUAAUAGUUA